AAACAACAGUCGAGAAAGAGCUGGCAAGGGCACUCCAGCAGAUGGCUGUGACAGUACCCUCGCUUUAAGGAGUGGAUUCCAGACGCUCCAA